rnacentral:rRNA from 1 species
UACGUAGGGGGCUAGCGUUGUCCGGAAUCAUUGGGCGUAAAGCGCGUGUAGGCGGCCCGGUAAGUCCGCUGUGAAAGUCGGGGGCUCAACCCUCGGAUGCCGGUGGAUACUGUCGGGCUCGAGUACGGAAGAGGCGAGUGGAAUUCCUGGUGUAGCGGUGAAAUGCGCAGAUAUCAGGAGGAACACCAGUUGCGAAGGCAGCUCGCUGGGACGUUACUGACGCUGAGACGCGAAAGCGUGGGGAGCAAACAGG